ensembl:lncRNA
AUUUAAGGGCUGACUGCAACUGGGGAAGGGUCUGUGUCUGGAGAUUGCUCCUUGUGGAGUUUCUUGCAAGCCUAUAACACUGGGCUAAAUACCUGAAGAAAUCCCAGCUAAGCCAAUUUCCAAUAGAAGAAAGACGUCUACUGGAGUCUUCUGCAGCAAGGCUACCAUUCUUGAGUUCCCCUCUCAAAAGAAUCCAGCGGAAAAGGCAGGAAUUUCAUCAUCUCAGGCAAGCUGCCAGGAAAGAACAAGCUCCCCUCUACUGAAAAAAACACCAAGGACAGAGGAAGUUCAGUUGCUGGGAGACUGCAGCUUUGAGAGCCUUGAAAUUUUAUGUGAUUGAAGAAGAGUUUGGCUGUUUGUUUUUGCUUUCUGGACAUCUGGUACCCUGAAAAAAAAAAGAAAGAAAAGAACUAGCUCAACUGAGCUGUUGAACAUCUGGAUAUUCUGAGCGAAUGACCACUCUAUGUAAUAAGGUCUUGAUGUGGCUCCUUCUGGAUGAUGCCUAGUUCGACAUAAGCUUAUGGAAAAAAAUAGUCUCCUGGCAAACAUAGAAGAGGAUCAUGGCUUUGGUGUAGUCUUUUCACAUCUACUGAUCCACGAACACAUACAGUCCAGCUUGCGUGGGUGAAUUAUGAUCAUAUUUUUCUGAACUGAUUCCCAGAGGGAUUUGACUCCAUGCUCCCUCAUGGGAGCAUCCCUGCAUUUACUAGGCCAAAAACCAAAUUCCUUAGUGCAUUAGGCAAGAGCAGGUAGAUCUGAUAGUAAUUUGUAUUUUCAUUCAGUAAUCUGUAUGAUGAUACCACUUCUCAAUUGCGGUGAGAGCAAUGUUUAUAUAUGUGCGUGUGCAUGUGUGUAUGUGAAGAUAUUUUAAGCUUUUUCUACACUAACGGUGACAAAAAGCAAACAUCAUAAAGAGGAUACAGGAGGAUAAUAAGAGUCAGCUGAAAUCAGUUCAUAACUGUAUGAGAAACUAACAAAUCUCUUGCUGUGCUGAACAACUUUUAGCAGUAAGGAUUGAUACGGAGUAUUGCCAAGAAUGUCUAGAUUGAUUGACAUUAUUUAUUAAAUAACAGACAGCAAUGAAAAACACUGUGUUUCAGUGGAGAAUGCAGAAGAAUGGCAAGGUGUGUGCGUGAUAUGGAUUCACAGUCACAAUAAGCAGUGAUGAAGUACAGUUGAGUGUUUCUUGGAGUGUUUGUUAAACUCAGGAGAGAGAUUCUGUGAAACACCUAGAUUACAAAUAGAAUAUUUUCAAGAUAAUAUUUUCAAGAUCUCCAACUGAAGACAUGAGCUGGUCAUGUGGUUAUAUUAAAAAGAGCAGACUUUGACUCCAGUCAAACCCAACUGGAUUUUGCCUUUAACCUUGAGGUGAAGGAGAGAUAUGGGAACCUGUAUCAUCACCAGAGGAAGCAUCGGUGGCACUGAUGGUUUUGUCAUGUUUCUUUCAUCCUAAAUGAUCAAUAUAAUUUUCAGAACCUUUGAGACACCAGUGUUCUUCUGUAAGGUUGGAUUGUGUGAAUCUGUUUUUUUUGUGGGCAUUUGGUUGCUGCAGUUAUGUAACACAUUUUCUGUGUGUUUUUUUAAAGAACAAGGGCUUCUGCAGGAUACUGCAGGAAAUAUCAAAAAACAGGUGUUUUUCAAAGGGAAUUGUCAGUUAUGCAUUUUCAAUUUAGCAAAAACUAGUAACUGUCUAUACAGUGAAUAAAGAAAAACAUGGUUUGAACAUUUCAAAAGCUAUUAAGGUAUCCUAUUUACACUUCUCUGUUUAGCUUAUCAAGGGGAAGAUGAUGAAAAAAUUAUUAAAAUUGAAUACAAGUUCUUUUUCCACAUUUCAGUGGCAGAAAUAUAACAAGUUUUCUGAAAAGUGAUAUUUGAGACAAAAAAUAUUUUAAUUAGAUUAUAUUUUUUAUUUUAAAAAAUGACUGAUUUUAGGCAUUGUCAUCCCUCCCAUCUCACUCAGGAUAUUGGAUCAUUUAGUUCCAAUUGUUGUUCCUGACAUUUCGUGAAUUGUCAUUUAGUCUAUCAUGAAUAAAGUCUUAAGUUCCCUUUAGGAUGCUGUAUAUAAAUAAUCCCAGCCAAUAUACUUUUUGUCUUGAGGAAUUCAUAGCCUUCUUUAAAAACUACAAGUAUGUUGAUGAAAGUAGUGGUUUAAAUUCUGUGAGGAUCUGUAUAGGAAUUGCUAGGUCAUGGCCUGAACCAAUGACUGAGCACCUGGUGAAGGGAUACAGCCAGCUCUGGGAGCACAGGUGAAAGCAAUUUGUGGAACCUGGAUCCACCCCUCCCUAAGCCUCAUUUAAGGGCUGGCUGCCAUGAGGAAGGGUUUUCUGUCUGGAGAUCUCUCUUUUUGGAGUAUUUGGUCAGCCCUGAUCCUUGGAGUAGGUAAGAAAAUCAUUCUUUCUUUAACUGUGCUGUGGUCAUCAUCCUUUUUUAGGUAACUUAGAGCUGAUUAUCUGCCAUUGCCUUUCCCUACAUGAUCAUAAAACCAACGAAAGCAAAUAAUUUUUUUAAUAUACCAAAGAUACUGUGUUAACGCUUUCUGCUUGGAGAGAUACAACAGGGUGACUUGAAUAAAAGAGUCCCUAACAUUGAAAAUUCAAGAGUAAAGCAAUGCUCCAAACUCUUCAUAUCAAGAAUAUUGUGGUAAUUGUGGAAAUGCCUACAAAAGGACACAACUCUAACAUCCGUGGGUAAAGGAACAUUGCUUAGCAGAAGUGAAGAGGGCUUCACUGUAGAAGAGAGGCAGAUCUGGAAGGGCAGCAGGAAACCCUGAGGCCCAGCAAAAAAUAAAUAAGUAAUAAAAUGCUGAAUUGUAUUAAAAAUGGAGUUCAUAGAUAAAACACCAGUACAAUUUCAAAAUGAUAGAAAAGCUUCUGGUAAAGAUUCAACAGAGGAAUUAUUAUAGGCAGUUUUUUUCUAAAGUCAUGGAAUCAGAGGCCAACACUGUACCAUCCUUAAGUAUAUCUUUUUAACUAAUACACAUUAGUGUGAUGUUUCAUACCCUAUGCAGAAAGAGGUGAUUGAUCAGACUCAAUAGUAACAGGAUUCUAACAGCUUACACAUACAACAGUGUUAGCCAUCAAGAGGAAAAGUUGUAAGCAUAUACAUUUACCCAUGUUUUUGAAAUGAAGCGUCGUGCACAUGUAUCUAGCAGUUCUUGUAAGAUUCUCAGUUUAUGAGAAAGUGCUGUGCUCUAGGUAAAUAGCAAUGAGUAUAUUGUGGUGGGGAAAAAAAGUACUUAUGUUUAAAUGUGAAUAUUCAUCUUGAAAUAAAAUUAAAGGUACUG